AGUAAAAUAGUACGUGAAAUUGUUGAAAGGGAAACGAUUGAAGUCAGUCGUACCGACGAGAAAUCAGCCCUUCGAGUGCGAAGUUGUGGGCGUGCGUGAGUCUUUAACGGGCCUCGCUGUUUGCAAUUUUGUGCUUUUUGGGUGUACUUUUUCGUAUGGUAGGCCAACGUCAGUUUCGAUCACCGUAAAAUGAUCGGAGGAAUGUAGCUUCGAUCUCGUAUUGAAGUGUUAUAGCCUCUGGUAGAUGCGGUGACCGAAACUGAGGAUUGCAACGAAUACCCUUUUGGGCUAUCCGUCUGGCCUCUGAAAGUUGCUUAGGUGCCGAAAGCGUGCUUACGGCUAUUUAAGUUGACGGUCAACAGGUUAGAACGUGAUUACAUUCGUUAAGGACGUUGGCGUAAUGGCUUUAAA
rnacentral:misc_RNA from 1 species